CAUUCAAGCAAAAAUAAAAUAAAGAGACUUUAGCGGCGCCAGCCUUUAGCGUCGUUAUCAUCAAUUAACUUCUCAGCGCAUCUCCACUACCGAGGUUCGUCAUAUCUCAUACCGGUCUAUUACAGCAGUAGCCAACCCUCGAGUACUACUGCGUACAAGAGUGUCCCACGUCUUACGAUGAUAAGCGAUCUGACUUGCCCCAACGAAUUUAUCUAAGUAUCGGAACUCUAUGGUCGGAAACAGGAGGAUAGGAUAGGGCGGGAGAAUAAAGGUGAAUGACGCAAGGUAAAACAAAAUUCCCAUGCAAAUGAAAUCAUAACUCACAAACCAAAAAUUCUUGUUUGUCUGAUUUAGUUAUUUGGGG